rnacentral:rRNA from 1 species
CCGACGGUGAGAGGUGAAGCUGGGGGCGCAAACCGGAUUAGAUACCCGGGUAGUCCCAGCAUAAACGAUCCCACUAUGAUUGCUGGAACCAUGGGUUCCAGCAAGUGCCGAAUGGAAGCCGUGAAGCUGGCCACCUGGGAAGUACGUGUCGCAAUGGCUUGAAACUUACAAGGAAUUUGGCGUGGUGGAGUACCACAACCGGUGGAGCCUGCGUGUUUAAUUUGGAUACAACGCCGGGGAAUCUUACCGGAGGGGACAGCAGUAUUGAAGGCCAGUGCUAAAGACCUUGCCAGAUCAGCUGAGAGGAGGUGCAUGGCCGUCGCCAGUUCGUACCGUGAGGCAUCCUGUUUAGUCAGGCAACGAUCGAGACCCGCAGUCUUAUUUGCCAGCAUGCCCUUUGGGGUGUAUGGGUACAAUAAGACGACCGCCAGCGCUAAGCUGGAGGAAGGAGCGGGCUACGGUAGGUCAGCAUGCCCCGAAUCCUCCGGGAUACACGCGGGCUACAAUGGUCAGGACAAAAGGUACCGACCUCGAAAGAGUGAGGUAAUCCACAAACCU